rnacentral:rRNA from 1 species
AACGAACGCUGGCGGCAGGCUUAACACAUGCAAGUCGAACGAGAUCUUCGGAUCUAGUGGCAGACGGGUGAGGAACACGUGGGAACAUCCCUUUCAGUUCGGAAUAACGUUGGGAAACUAACGCUAAUACCGGAUACGUCCUUCGGGAGAAAGAUUUAUCGCUGAAAGAUUGGCCCGCGUCUGAUUAGCUAGUUGGUGAGGUAAUGGCUCACCAAGGCUACGAUCAGUAGCUGAUCUGAGAGGAUGAUCAGCCACAUUGGGACUGAGACACGGCCCAAACUCCUACGGGAGGCAGCAGUGGGGAAUAUUGGACAAUGGGCGCAAGCCUGAUCCAGCCAUGCCGCGUGAGUGAUGACGGCCUUCGGGUUGUAAAGCUCUUUUGUCCGGGAAGAUAAUGACUGUACCCGGAGAAGAAGCCCCGGCUAACUUCGUGCCAGCAGCCGCCGUAA